rnacentral:rRNA from 1 species
UACGUAGGGUGCAAGCGUUGUCCGGAUUUAUUGGGCGUAAAGAGCUCGUAGGCGGCUUAGAAAGUCAGGUGUGAAACCUCCCGGCUCAACCUGGAGACGCCACUUGAUACUUCUAUGGCUUGAGUUCGGUAGGGGUAAGCGGAAUUCCUGGUGUAGCGGUGAAAUGCGCAGAUAUCAGGAGGAACACCGAUGGCGAAGGCAGCUUACUGGGCCGAAACUGACGCUGAGGAGCGAAAGCGUGGGGAGCGAACAGG